rnacentral:rRNA from 1 species
UAGUCAUAUGCUUGUCUCAAAGAUUAAGCCAUGCAUGUCUAAGUAUAAGUUUUUUACUGCGAAACUGUGAAUGGCUCAUUAUAACAGUUAUUAUUUCCUAGCCGGUCAGUUAUUCCUUGGAUACCCAUGGUAAUUCUAGAGCUAAUACAUGCUUACAGACCCAACUUCACGGAAGGGUUGCGCUUAUUAGAUACGAACCAACCCCGCAAAGGAUUCAGUUGAUUCAUAGUAUUCUGGCGAAUCGACUUUCAGUCGAUGAGGCUAUCAAGUUUCUGACCUAUCAGCUUCCGACGGUAGGGUAUUGGCCUACCGUGGCUUUGACGGGUAACGGAGAAUUAGGGUUCGAUUCCGGAGAGGGAGCCUGAGAAACGGCUACCACAUCUAAGGAAGGCAGCAGGCGCGUAAAUUACCCAAUCCUGACACAGGGAGGUAGUGACAAGAAAUAUCAAUAUAAGACUUUUGUGUCUUGUAAUUGGGAUGAGCGGAACUUAAAUCGCUUCUCGAGUAUCAAUA